UACGGGGGGGGGCUAGCGUUGUUCGGAAUUACUGGGCGUAAAGGGCGCGUAGGCGGUCUGCUAAGUUGGAUGUGAAAACUCUGGGCUUAACCCAGAGCCUGCAUUCAAUACUGACAGGCUAGAGUUCGUGGAGGGGAUAGCGGAAUUCCUGGAUGUAGCGGUGAAAUGCGUAGAUAGUCAAGGAGGAAUCACCGGUGGGCGAAGGCGGUUCUCUGGGCAUGAUCAUGCGUGGAGACGAGAAAGCCGGUGGGGACGCAAACAGG
rnacentral:rRNA from 1 species